UGCCUGUUUUUUAAAAACAAGUUUUUAAGUUUUUUUUUGAGGUUUAGCCUGCUCAGUGAUUAUUUAAAUAGCCGCGGUAUUUUAACUGUGCUAAGGUAGCAUAAUAAUUAGUCUUUUAAUUGAGGUCUGGAAUGAAUGGUUGGACGAGAAAUUAACUUUAUUAAUUUUAUUAAUUUUGAAUUUUAUUUUUUAGUUAAAAAUCUAAAAUUUUACAGAGGGACGAUAAGACCCUAUAGAUCUUAAAAAUUUAAUUUUUUUUUUUUUUUUUGGUGUUUUUUUUUAUAUGGAUUAUUUUUUUUUGUUGGGGUGACAGCUAAAAUUUUAAACUUUAGUUUAUUUUUACAUUUAUGUUUGGCUUAUUGAUCCUUAAAUUGAGAUACAAAGAUAAAGAUACCUUAGGGAUAACAGCGUUAUAUAAUUGGAGAGUUCUUAUCGAUAAUUAUGUUUGCGACCUCGAUGUUGGAUUAAAAUUUUACUGUGGGGUAGGUUUUACAGUUUUAA
rnacentral:rRNA from 1 species